ACGCUCGACACCUACGGGGAGGCAGCAGUGGGGAAUAUUGCACAAUGGGGGAAACCCUGAUGCAGCGACGCCGCGUGAGCGAAGAAGUAUUUCGGUAUGUAAAGCUCUAUCAGCAGGGAAGAAACUGACGGUACCUGACUAAGAAGCACCGGCUAAAUACGUGACAGCAGCCGCGGUAAUCUGAGCGGGCUGGCAAGGC
rnacentral:rRNA from 1 species